rnacentral:rRNA from 1 species
AGAGUUUGAUCCUGGCUCAGGACGAACGCUGGCGGCGCGCCUAACACAUGCAAGUCGAACGAGCGAGAGAGAGCUUGCUUUCUCGAGCGAGUGGCGAACGGGUGAGUAACGCGUGAGGAACCUGCCUCAAAGAGGGGGACAACAGUUGGAAACGACUGCUAAUACCGCAUAAGCCCACGGGUCGGCAUCGACCAGAGGGAAAAGGAGCAAUCCGCUUUGAGAUGGCCUCGCGUCCGAUUAGCUGGUUGGUGAGGUAACGGCCCACCAAGGCGACGAUCGGUAGCCGGACUGAGAGGUUGAACGGCCACAUUGGGACUGAGACACGGCCCAGACUCCUACGGGAGGCAGCAGUGGGGAAUAUUGCACAAUGGGGGAAACCCUGAUGCAGCGACGCCGCGUGGAGGAAGAAGGUCUUCGGAUUGUAAACUCCUGUUGUUGGGGAAGAUAAUGACGGUACCCAACAAGGAAGUGACGGCUAACUACGUGCCAGCAGCCGCGGUAAAACGUAGGUCACAAGCGUUGUCCGGAAUUACUGGGUGUAAAGGGAGCGCAGGCGGGAAGACAAGUUGGAAGUGAAAUCCAUGGGCUCAACCCAUGAACUGCUUUCAAAACUGUUUUUCUUGAGUAGUGCAGAGGUAGGCGGAAUUCCCGGUGUAGCGGUGGAAUGCGUAGAUAUCGGGAGGAACACCAGUGGCGAAGGCGGCCUACUGGGCACCAACUGACGCUGAGGCUCGAAAGUGUGGGUAGCAAACAGGAUUAGAUACCCUGGUAGUCCACACCGUAAACGAUGAUUACUAGGUGUUGGAGGAUUGACCCCUUCAGUGCCGCGGUUAACACAAUAAGUAAUCCACCUGGGGAGUACGACCGCAAGGUUGAAACUCAAAGGAAUUGACGGGGGCCCGCACAAGCAGUGGAGUAUGUGGUUUAAUUCGACGCAACGCGAAGAACCUUACCAAGUCUUGACAUCCGUUGACCGACAUAGAAAUAUGUUUUUCCUUCGGGACAGCGAGACAGGUGGUGCAUGGUUAUCGUCAGCUCGUGUCGUGAGAUGUUGGGUUAAGUCCCGCAACGAGCGCAACCCUUAUGGUCAGUUACUACGCAAGAGGACUCUGGCCAGACUGCCGUUGACAAAACGGAGGAAGGUGGGGAUGACGUCAAAUCAUCAUGCCCUUUAUGACUUGGGCUACACACGUACUACAAUGGCGUUAAACAAAGAGAAGCAAGACCGCGAGGUGGAGCAAAACUCAGAAACAACGUCCCAGUUCGGACUGCAGGCUGCAACUCGCCUGCACGAAGUCGGAAUUGCUAGUAAUCGUGGAUCAGCAUGCCACGGUGAAUACGUUCCCGGGCCUUGUACACACCGCCCGUCACACCAUGAGAGCCGGGGGGACCCGAAGUCGGUAGUCUAACCGCAA